UCUGAUAUGCAUGCGAAGUAGAAGGUCUGCACAUCCAAGUCUCCGCAAAGGUUUAUAUUAGAUAAUUUGAGAUUUGAUCUCUAGUUUCACUGUAAAUCAGAUAAAAAUUUGAGCCUUAAUCAUGUAGAUGAAUAAAAAAAUUUUUAGAUACAACCUGAGCCUUCCGAGGAGAAAUAGUUUCUUUCCCUUCAAUUGGUACUAGAGCAGGUCUGAAAUAUAUGCAUGCA
rnacentral:lncRNA from 1 species